AGUGAACGCUGGCGGCAGGCCUAACACAUGCAAGUCGAACGGCAGCACAGGGGAGCUUGCUCCCUGGUGGCGAGUGGCGGACGGGUGAGGAACACAUCGGAAUCUACCCAGUCGUGGGGGAUAACGUAGGGAAACUUACGCUAAUACCGCAUACGACCUGAGGGUGAAAGCAGGGGACCGCAAGGCCUUGCGCGAUUGGAUGAGCCGAUGUCGGAUUAGCUAGUUGGUGGGGUAAAGGCCCACCAAGGCGACGAUCCGUAGCUGGUCUGAGAGGAUGAUCAGCCACACUGGAACUGAGACACGGUCCAGACUCCUACGGGAGGCAGCAGUGGGGAAUNUUGGACAUGGGCGCAAGCCUGAUCCAGCCAUGCCGCGUGUGUGAAGAAGGCCUCGGUUGUAAGC
rnacentral:rRNA from 1 species